rnacentral:rRNA from 1 species
GAUGAACGCUAGCUACAGGCUUAACACAUGCAAGUCGCGGGGCAGCAUGGUGGUUGCUACUACGCCCGAUUUGCUAUCUUUCUAGGGGCGGGCGAGGGAGUACCACCUGGCCAUCCUCCCCGGUACAAGCGGGUAACAGUCGGACAUAUCCGGUAAGUCGUCAUAUGCGCACAUCGCUGUAUGACGCAGUGUGAGACGCUGCGGGGGGGGAAGAUGGACCCGCGUUGGAUUAGCUGGUUGGUGGGGUGACGGGGCACCGAGGCGACGGUCGGUAGCGGGCGUGGGAGGAAGAUCCCCCACACUGGAACGGGGACACGGUCCAGACGCCUACGGGAGGCAGCAGUGAGGAAUAUUGGUCAAUGGGCGUAAGCCUGAACCAGCCAAGUAGCGUGCAGGACGACGGCCCUAUGGGUUGUAAACUGCUUUUAUGCGGGGAUAAAGUGGCCCACGUGUGGGUUUUUGCAGGUACCGCAUGAAUAAGGCCCGGCUAAUUCCGUG